CCUACGGGUGGCAGCAGUAGGGAAUAUUGCUCAAUGGGGGAAACCCUGAAGCAGCAACGCCGCGUGGAGGAUGAAGGUUUUCGGAUUGUAAACUCCUUUUGUUAGGGAAGAUAAUGACGGUAUCUAACGAAUAAGCACCUGCUAACUCCGUGCCAGCAGCCGCGGUAAUACGGAGGGUGCAAGCGUUACUCGGAAUCACUGGGCGUAACGCGCGAGUAGGCGGGAGAGCAAGUCAGAUGUGAAAUCCUAUGGCUUAACCAUAGAACUGCAUUUGAAACUGUUAGUCUGGAGUAUGGGAGAGGUAGGUAGAAUUCUUGGUGUAGGGGUGAAAUCCGUAGAGAUCAAGAGGAAUAC
rnacentral:rRNA from 1 species